rnacentral:rRNA from 1 species
UACGUAGGGGGCAAGCGUUGUCCGGAAUCAUUGGGCGUAAAGCGCGCGUAGGCGGCCCGGUAAGUCCGCUGUAAAAGUCCAGGGCUCAACCCUGGAAAGCCGGUGGAUACUGUCGGGCUAGAGUCCGGAAGAGGCGAGCGGAACAAGUGGUGGAGCGGUGAAAUGCGUAGAUAUCACUUGGAACGCCAAUGGUGAAGACAGCUCGCUGGGGGGUGUCCUGACGCUGAGGCGCGAAAGCCAGGGGAGCGAACGGG